UUAAAAUUAAUUUAAUAAAAAAUUUAUAUUUUGCAAAUAUAAUUUA
rnacentral:tRNA from 1 species